ACAACAUCCGUUCCUACAGUGCAGGAAGCAUUAGGUUCCUGCAUUUGACUUCUAGACCACUGCAAGCAUGCAUGAAGGGGAGGGAGUGGUCACAAAGAGAUGUUAUGGUAGGCAUUUAGUUGGUAAGUAAAUAUGGAGCGCCAUGGCUCAUUCGGAUGAUGCUUCAGUCACAGCAUUGAACUAUGGCUUCCAAACCUCUCCAUCCAUAAGUUGUGAGAGAUGCAUUUGUAAAAAGGAGAAUGAUGGCAUACACAGUAUGUAUGUAAGUAAUGGUGUGUUCAAUAGUUAUAAAUACCUAAAUGAGAUUUCUUCC